CAAGGGUUACCACCUUUAAAAUGGAGACAUUCUAAUCAGGAUCAUCGUAGUAGUCGUCCAUCUGAGCACGCUGUAUCAUCGCAUUGAUCGGUUAAGAUAUCCAAGUGCGAGUUUAAUGUCCUAGUGUGUUCCACAUUUGCAUUGUCUUCAUUUGUUUGUACGGUGAUGACGACAGCACUGUUGUCGUCAUAGUCUCCUUGUUGGGCCAUUGUCCGGACUCCAAUCCCCGGACUCCUAUCUCCGGACUCCCGACUCAUUGUUGGCCCUUUGUUUUUGCGCCUCGCGUGUCUAAUAAAAGCGCAUCACAAUGUGGGUCAUUGUACGACUACACAGGCCAGUCGGCAUCAUAUGACUUUGCAUUUGUCAGCAGCAUGCAACUGCUGCAACAUCAACACAUAAAGCGCUGCUAAUUGCAAACGUUCACAUGCGGCAAAAUCGGCAAGAGGCAUGCAGAGAAAAUAUUUAUUUUCCAAAUUUUUUAAUUUAAAUUCAAGAAAAACAACAUCAGAUGGUUUUUUUUCUAAUAUUUAAGAAUUGAAACGUUGAAACGA